rnacentral:lncRNA from 1 species
GGCGAUCUCAUAAUUCUUGAUCUAUGAGAUAAAAAUACGAUAUAAAAAGGAUAAAUACAUAUUAUUUAGGUGUCAGUCUAUACAGUGUGACUGGACUCGGAUUCGAGAUUUUGGCUUAUAUAAAACCUUAGCUAGCUGGAAUAUUUGGGUUUAAUGAGUGUGGGUGUCGUGUUCGCGUGAUUCUUAGCUGAUGCUUCUUUGAUAA